rnacentral:lncRNA from 1 species
AAACAUAUACAUACAGUGCAAAUAAUUUUCUCCAUGGACGCGUAUACCACAUAGGGGAUUUACUGAAAUUUGCACUAUACACUCACAGACUACAUAAAAAUAGGUCUCCAUUGUUAAACACGCACACACCGACUCCCAUUCGCAUAGCAAAUCGCACACACGUAUACACACUUUGAGAAGAAGAUCGAGAAUCAAGAUGUUUUGAGAGAUCCGAGGGUUUUUGUUAGAUUUUCGGUGAAAAUUUUGGCGGAAUUGAUUGUUCAGUUAGUAUAUCUAGUCCCGAGAUCUCCGAAAUUAGUGUAAUCGGUGUACAGUUCAUCUAUUUGACAGAUCCAGUCUGAAAUCCCCAAAAUUUUCUCUUUUUGCCUAUGGUUUCUAGCUGAAUCUGGCCGGCAUCGAAGCGUUUCUUUGAUGAUCUCACCGGAAUCCGCUACCACACAAUGUAUUAACCACUAUCGACCAUGAAAAUCACCCCUCUCACCUCUAAAAAUGCAAGGCAAUAACUGGAACCAGUUGAAAUAGAUAUUUUAUUUGAUUCUGUUGAGAUUUGGGUUGACUCCGGUUUAAUUUCGAUGCGGGUUUUCUUGGUUCUUCAUAAUUUCUGUAUCGAUUGGUUUAAUAUUUCUUCUUCAACCUAUUUGGGGUUGAUUCUGGGAUCAAAUCUGUCUAGAUCUUUAUUUUUCGGUUUUGAGUUUGGAGUUUUAUUUGCUUUCAAGGUUUGAAUCGGGUUUUCUAGCGUGAUUUUAUCUCUGAUAUAUUGAAAUCGACAUUUGAGGUCCAAUUCUUUGACUCUCUGUUUUUGUCUUGUUUUGAUUUAGUGCAUUGAUGUUAUGAUUGUGUGUUGUUGGUUGUGAUUAGAUGAUCUUUGUUGAUGUUUGAUUUUGUUUAUCCAUGAAUAAUUAAUCAUGGUAUGAACUUGAUGUUAGCAUGGAUUUGGAUAAUUACUUUGUCUAAAAUUGAUGUAUAAAAGAG